rnacentral:rRNA from 1 species
GACGAACGCUGGCGGCGUGCUUAACACAUGCAAGUCGAACGGAAAGGCCCUGCUUUUGUGGGGUGCUCGAGUGGCGAACGUGUUAGUAACACGUGUGUAACCUGCCCUUGACUUUGGGAUAACUUCAGGAAACUGGGGCUAAUACCUUAUAUGAGCUCCUGCUGCUUGGUGGGGGUUGGUAAGUUUCGGCGGUUGGGGAUGGACUCGCGGCUUAUCAGCUUGUUGGUGGGGUAGUGGCUUACCAAGGCUUUGACGGGUAGCCGGCAUGAGAGGGUGACCGGCGACAUUGGGACUGAGAUACGGACAAGAAUGCAACGGGAGGCAGCAGUGGGGAAUAUUGCACAAUGGGAGGAAGCGUGAUGAAGCAAAGCCGCGUGCGGGAUGACGGCCUUCGGGUUGUAAACCGCGUUAGACUGUGACGAAGAGUGAGUGACGGUAAUGGGUAAAGAAGCACCGGCUAAAUAAGUG